rnacentral:rRNA from 1 species
GAUGAACGCUGGCGGCGUGCCUAAUACAUGCAAGUCGAGCGAACAGACGAGGAGCUUGCUCCUCUGACGUUAGCUGCGGACGGGUGAGUAACACGUGGAUAACCUACCUAUAAGACUGGGAUAACUUCGGGAAACCGGAGCUAAUACCGGAUAAUAUAUUGAACCGCAUGGUUCAAUAGUGAAAGACGGUUUUGCUGUCACUUAUAGAUGGAUCCGCGCCGCAUUAGCUAGUUGGUAAGGUAACGGCUUACCAAGGCAACGAUGCGUAGCCGACCUGAGAGGGUGAUCGGCAACACUGGAACUGAGACACGGUCCAGACUCCUACGGGAGGCAGCAGUAGGGAAUCUUCCGCAAUGGGCGAAAGCCUGACGGAGCAACGCCGCGUGAGUGAUGAAGGUCUUCGGAUCGUAAAACUCUGUUAUUAGGGAAGAACAAAUGUGUAAGUAACUAUGCACGUCUUGACGGUACCUAAUCAGAAAGCCACGGCUAACUACGUG